UUGACCUCGGAUCAGGUAGGGAUACCCGCUGAACUUAAGCAUAUCAAUAAGCGGAGGAAAAGAAACCAACAGGGAUUACCUCAGUAACGGCGAGUGAAGCGGUAACAGCUCAAAUUUGAAAUCUGGCUCUUUUAGGGCCCGAGUUGUAAUUUGUAGAAGAUGCUUUGGGUGUGGCUCCAGUCUAAGUUCCUUGGAACAGGACGUCAUAGAGGGUGAGAAUCCCGUAUGUGACUGGUGGCUUUCGCCCGUGUAAAGCUCUUUCGACGAGUCGAGUUGUUUGGGAAUGCAGCUCAAAAUGGGUGGUAAAUUUCAUCUAAAGCUAAAUAUUGGCCAGAGACCGAUAGCGCACAAGUAGAGUGAUCGAAAGAUGAAAAGCACUUUGGAAAGAGAGUUAAACAGUACGUGAAAUUGUUGAAAGGGAAGCGCUUGCAACCAGACUCGUAUGCUGCUGAUCAUCCGGGGUUCUCCUCGGUGCACUCGGCAGUCUUCGGGCCAGCAUCGGUUUGGGUGGUAGGAUAAAGACCUUAGGAAUGUAGCUUCUCUCCGGGGAGUGUUAUAGCCUUCGGUGCAAUGCUGCCUGCCUAGACCGAGGACCGCGCUUCGGCUAGGAUGCUGGCGUA
rnacentral:rRNA from 2 species